GAUGAACGCUAGCGGCAGGCCUAACACAUGCAAGUCGAGGGGUAGAGUUAGCUUGCUAACUUGAGACCGGCGCACGGGUGCGUAACGCGUAUGCAAUCUGCCUUGUACUGAGGGAUAGCCCAGAGAAAUUUGGAUUAAUACCUCAUAGUAUUAUUGAAUGGCAUCAUUUGAUAAUUAAAGUUCCAACGGUACAAGAUGAGCAUGCGUCCCAUUAGUUAGUUGGUAAGGUAGCGGCUUACCAAGACGAUGAUGGGUAGGGGUCCUGAGAGGGAGAUCCCCCACACUGGUACUGAGACACGGACCAGACUCCUACGGGAGGCAGCAGUGAGGAAUAUUGGUCAAUGGACGCAAGUCUGAACCAGCCAUGCCGCGUGCAGGAUGACGGUCCUAUGGAUUGUAAACUGCUUUUAUACAGGAAGAAACACUCCCUCGUGAGGGAACUUGACGGUACUGUAGGAAUAAGGAUCGGCUAACUCCGUGCCAGCAGCCGCGGUAACAC
rnacentral:rRNA from 1 species